rnacentral:sRNA from 1 species
CUAUCAUCUUCCUGUAAUGCUUUUAAAGCAGCUACCAGAGACAACUACCAGGGAGGUUCUAAGUUUAAACAAGAGGUCAAUAGCUAACAGGUGCAUGCUUUAAUCUCAUUGUUCUGCCCUAUCACCGAGUCAGUGCCUACUACUGCUCCCCCUCUCCGAGAUGUGGCAAGACCAGGCUCAUUUCCAUCUCCUAUUAAAGAAGAAGGUUUCAUCCAACAGCUAGGCUGUCCCAUCAAGAGGGCUCUUAUUCAUAUGAUGUGCAAGUUCUCAUGUGUUAGGACCCUUUGGGCCACCAUAGGUUACUAGUAUUUAUUAGGUCCAUUGCUAAUGUUAAGCCCACUAAGACCACUAAACCCUAGCUAUCCUUUUGUGUAUUUAAACUACUAUGUUCAUCUAAAUUGGG